CCUUACUCAGCCAUGACAUGUGUUACACAGAUGGGAGAGCCAAGGCAAAAAUAGGCACAGCGCUUCUCCCGGCUCCUGCAGAACAGCAGCAAAAGCCGAGCGGGAUCCCCGAUGAACCCCGGUGUCCAGGAGCCUCCAUGGGCAAGGGGGCAGGCACCAGCCCAGCCUGGGAAAAAUCCAGCCCCAAGGCGAGACCGAUCCACGCUCUUUAGUGAGACCACCGGAGCAUUGCCCCGAAUCCGCGGCCCCGGCACCCGCUAGAUGUGGCAGUCACAAUGUCAGGACCUCAGUGGCAGGAUGCACCUCAGCACAGCAGGUUUUGGGGAAAGAAGAGGACACGUGGAACAAUUACGAUGAGAAAGGAGCAAGCUGCAGAUGGAGAAGGUCUGCAGCUUUCCUUCCUGCUGAGUUACAAACUCACUCCUGCUUUAUUCCUCCACUUGGCACUUCCCUGCCUUGGCUCAGAGCACGUAGGCUUCAUCCUCUUGAUGAUCAGCUGAGGAGCAGAUGGAGGAUCAGAGGAGCAGGAUGGCUGCUUUAUGAGGUGUACCCAUGGCAGCAUUCGUGGAAACAACCAACAAGUGACCACGAGCCAGGAUUUCAAAUGCUGCAAUACCCGAAGUUGGAAUGUAGGGGAAGUCAUAGUCAAAGUCAUAGAACCCAGGGAUCCUGCAGUUUUAAAUUUUUCUCAGCUUUCGUUUAAAGCAAAGUGUCUAAUGUUCAUGUUCUCAAACAAAAGCUUGGAAAUGGGAAGCCUUGAACAUCAAAGAAAAUAAAAGAAUCCAAAACUGAUGAUUUUUUUUAUUU
rnacentral:lncRNA from 1 species